ncrna:unclassified sequences ROOL RNA
AUACACUAGACAAUGUCAGGCGAACCUGCUGAAGAGCCGAUGACCUCGGUGGCAGGGCGUCCCGGAACGCCGCGGUACAUCUUCAGGACAGAUAAACUGGAGAAUGUAACAAACCGUUGCCCAAACAGAGAUGGGAGGGCAGAAGGAUAUACAUUUCCAACAGCAAAGGGACGGCGGGUUCAUAAAGAAUUGAAAAGCAAAAGGCAAGGGGAACGGGAGCGGCAUCCGACAACAGACGGCGGAGGUUCCGCAGUAACCGUGCGGGCCCUGGUUUGAGACCCAGAAGCAGCACGGCAUUCAGGACGGAUGCAUCAGGUUGAGACCUUGAAAAAGGUGUAUAAGCUUUACCCCCUGUUUAACGGGCAAACCCUGGAAAUUUUAAAAAGAUGUCAUUUAAACACUUAUUUAAAAUCUGAAUGUCGCCCGGAGAUGCAGGUAAAUCCCUGCACAUGCGUAGCAACUCCAAGCACUUGUGUGCGAGGAGCUGGUUGUCCAGGAAGUAUGGAGGUAGCUCCCCCAUGCUCAGACCUGGGCACAUGUUGGCUGAACAUUGCGGUUCUUAUAUUGGACUUAGGGGGAAGCCCCCGCUUGAUGUCUUUUAAAAU